rnacentral:rRNA from 1 species
CCUACGGGUGGCAGCAGUGGGGAAUAUUGCACAAUGGGCGCAAGCCUGAUGCAGCGACGCCGCGUGCGGUAUGGAGGCCUUCGGGUUGUAAACCGCUUUUGUUCAAGGGCACGGCACGGUCUUUGUCCGUGUUGAGUGGAUUGUUCGAAUAAGCACCGGCUAACUACGUGCCAGCAGCCGCGGUAAUACGUAGGGUGCAAGCGUUAUCCGGUUUUAUUGGGCGUAAGGGGCUCGUAGGCGGUUCGUCGCGUCCGGUGUAAAAGUCCAUCGCUUAACGGUGGAUCCGCGCCGGGUACGGGCGGGCUGGAGUGCGGUAGAGGAGGCUGGAAUUCCCGGUGUAACGGUGGAAUGUGUAGAGAUCGGGAAGAACACCGAUGGCGAAGGCAGGUCUCUGGGCCGUUACUGACGCUGAGGAGCGAAAGCGUGGGGAGCGAACAGGAUUAGAUACCCUUGUAGUC